rnacentral:rRNA from 1 species
UCUGGCGGCAGUAGCGCGGUGGUCCCACCUGACCCCAUGCCGAACUCAGAAGUGAAACGCCGUAGCGCCGAUGGUAGUGUGGGGUCUCCCCAUGCGAGAGUAGGGGCGCCGAUGGUA